rnacentral:rRNA from 1 species
GACAGAGGGUGCAAACGUUGUUCGGAAUUACUGGGCGUAAAGAGCUCGUAGGUGGUUUGUCGCGUUGUUCGUGAAAACUCACAGCUUAACUGUGGGCGUGCGGGCGAUACGGGCAGACUGGAGUACUGCAGGGGAGACUGGAAUUCCUGGUGUAGCGGUGAAAUGCGCAGAUAUCAGGAGGAACACCGAUGGCGAAGGCAGGUCUCUGGGCCGAUACUGACGCUGAGGAGCGAAAGCGUGGGGAGCGAACAGG